rnacentral:rRNA from 1 species
UGAGGAAUACUGGUCAAUGGGCGAGAGCCUGAACCAGCCAAGUCGCGUGAGGGAAGACGGUCCUACGGAUUGUAAACCUCUUUGUCGGGGAGCAAUAAAGCGUACGCGUACGCAGAUGCGAGUACCCGAAGAAAAAGCAUCGGCUAACUCCGUGCCAGCAGCCGCGGUAAUACGGAGGAUGCGAGCGUUAUCCGGAUUUAUUGGGUUUAAAGGGUGCGCAGGCGGAAAGUGCAAGUCAGCGGUCAAACGACGGGGCUCAACCCCGUCUCGCCGUUGAAACUGUCUUUCUAGAGUGAGCGAGAAGUAUGCGGAAUGCGUGGUGUAGCGGUGAAAUGCAUAGAUAUCACGCAGAACUCCGAUUGCGAAGGCAGCAUACCGGCGCUCAACUGACGCUCAUGCACGAAAGCGUGGGUAUCGAACAGGAUUAGAUACC